GCGUCAGUAGUGCAACGGUUCAGCACGCGCUCCCGAUAAGAGUGAAAUCUUUGUUCAAUUCCCAGCAGACGCA